rnacentral:rRNA from 1 species
GUGGGGAAUAUUGGACAAUGGGCGAAAGCCUGAUCCAGCCAUGCCGCGUGUGUGAAGAAGGUCUUCGGAUUGUAAAGCACUUUAAGUUGGGAGGAAGGGCAGUAAGUUAAUACCUUGCUGUUUUGACGUUACCGACAGAAUAAGCACCGGCUAACUUCGUGCCAGCAGCCGCGGUAAUACGAAGGGUGCAAGCGUUAAUCGGAAUUACUGGGCAUAAAGCGCGCGUAGGUGGUUUUGUAAGUUGGAGGUGAAAUCCCCGGGCUCAACCUGGGAACUGCCUCCAAAACUGCAUGACUAGAGUACGGUAGAGGGUAGUGGAAUUUCCUGUGUAGCGGUGAAAUACGUAGAUAUAGGAAGGAACACCAGUGGCGAAGGCGACUACCUGGACUGAUACUGACACUGAGGUGCGAAAGCGUGGGGAGCAAACAGGAUUAGAAACCCUAGUAGUCC